rnacentral:lncRNA from 1 species
AGAAUUACCUCGUCGGUCUAGAAGGAGAAAAAGCCAACAGAAACAUAAAAAGGAAAAACAUGAGGUGGUCCCCAUGGGUCAUGGCGCUCAGGACGGGAUGAGUCCCAAGGAUUUAAACUUCAGAGCCAACCAGCGAGGUAGGUGAUGACAGUUGUUGUCCUAACAUUCUGAUUUGCCACGGUUUU